AUGAUCGAGACACGCGAGUUCUCCAUCACGGCUUGCUUCUCGCCCGUGGAUGGAGGGGAUCUGUGGUCUUUGACUACUGUCUAUGGGCCGCAUGAUGAGCCUAGGAAGCAGGCAUUCCUUGUUGAACUUGCGCUGAUUCAUAAUGCAGUCCUCGGCCCCUGGCUGCUAAUAGGCGACUUCAACCUGAUCAAAGACCCGCAAGACAAAAACAAUAAUCGCACCUGCCGGCGUUGGAUGAAUCGUUUCCGCCGCACCCUUAAUAGAUCAAGCCUGCACGAAAUCCCCCUAGUUGGUCGCAAGUACACAUGGAGUAAUGAGCAGCAAGUGCCCACCCUUGUUCGUCUAGAUCGUGCCUUCUGUAACGUUGAGUGGGAGCUGCUCUUCUCGGCCGCCAAACUCCUGCCGCUUGCCUCUGCCAUCUCCGACCACUGUCCGCUGAUGUUGGUAAAUGAGGGCAUCAUUGCUACCAACCGCCGAUUCCGCUACGAGAGCUAUUGGCAGUUCAUCGCGGGUUUUCACGAGGUAGUACAGCUGGCCUGGGCGGAAGGAACUGGUGGCAGAUGCCCGAUUUCGCGCCUGAACAUGAAGCUUUGGCGCACUAGCAAAGCGCUGAGAAACUGGAGCAGAACGCACAUCGGAGAUCUGCAAAAACAGCUGGCCAUUGCUAAUGAGUUAAUUCUCCAGCUUGAGGUUGCGCAAGAGUCGCGCCAGCUAACGAUUGUUGAACAGGACCUGCGGCAUACGCUUAAAUCCAGAACGAUGGGCUUGGCGGUCUUGCUUAAGAUCAAGCGCCGUCAACGGAGCCGUGUGCUUUGGCUCAAGGCUGGAGACGCCAAUACAAAGUUCUUCCAGCGGAAGGCGAAUGCUCGGCAUAAGCGGAAUAUUAUCCACAUCCUCCAUGGCCCAGGAGGCGCGGUAUCCUCUGCGGAUGGAAUGUUACAGCUAGCCCAUGGCUAUUUCACUGAUGUCUUUGGGACGGCCCAAACGACCCCGACCACGUUCAACUGGGACGAGCUGGACCUUGAUCAGGUUGAUAUGCAUGACAUAGAAGGGGAAUUCACCCUCCAAGAGGUCAAAGCUGCAAUUAAUGACACACCUGCGGAUAAGGCGCCCGGCCCGGAUGGCUUUUCGGGAGGUUUCUUCAGAACAUGCUGGGAGAUAAUUAAGCUUGACCUGCUCGCGGCGCUCAAUCAACUCUAUCACAUGGACAGCACCGGUCUGGUUAGGAUCAACAAAGCUCUGCUUGUCCUUUUGCCUAAGAAAUUAGGUGCAGAUAGAUUGCAGGACUUCCGGCCGAUCUCUCUCGUACACAGCCUGAUUAAAAUAUUCACUAAGAUUUUAGCCAGAAGACUUGCGCCGAAACUGAGUCAGCUUGUUGACCCUUGCCAGGCUGCUUUCAUCAAACAUCGCAGCAUCCAGGAAAAUUUUCUAUAUGUCCAGAACACUGCAAGGUUCUUCCACAAAAGCAAGAAGGCGGCCGUCUUGCUAAAGCUUGAUAUCGCUAAAGCAUUUGACUCUGUGUCUUGGACCUAUCUGUUGGAUAUGCUCAGAGCAAGGGGAUUUAGCGUCAGAUGGAGGGAGUGGAUUGCCAUGCUCCUUCGAACCUCUUCAUCACGUGUCUUGAUCAACGGAGCCUUAUCAGACUCAAUUUCCCAUCGGCAAGGGCUGCGGCAGGGUGACCCCAUUUCGCCAUUCCUCUUUGUACUUGCCAUGGACCCCCUGCAGCGAAUCAUGAGCCUAGCCACUGAACGAGGUCUCCUGUCGAAGCUCCCCGGGCGCCGUUCGGUGAUGCGCUGCUCGUUCUACGCGGACGAUGUUGUCCUGUUUCUGAAGCCGUCUGCGUCCGACGCCAACAUGAUAAAGCUGCUGCUCACGUUCUUCGGGAGUGUCACUGGCCUCCACACGAACAUAUCCAAGAGCUCGGCCAUGCCCAUUCGAUGUGAAAAUCUAGACCUACAGCAGCUACUGCAGCCGCUUGGGGUGGUGGUGAAGCACUUUCCGUGCACUUACCUUGGCAUGCCGCUCUCCUUGCGGGCUCUCAAGAAAGUGGACCUUGAGCCUUGGCUACUGAAGUUUGGUGACAAAACUGCUUGCUGGAAGGGAAGCAUGAUGGCCAAGAGUGGAAGGCUAGUGCUGCUUAAAUCAACACUGAUCUCCCUUGCUAUCUACUUGAUGACUGUGCACAAGCUGCCCGUGUGGAUUCGGAAGCAAGUCGUCCAGCUUUGCACGGCGUGGUUAUGGAGUGGGGAGACGUCGUGCAAUGGAGGAAAAUGCAGAGUCAGUUGGGCACUACUGGCACGGCCGAAGCACCUUGGGGGCCUGGGUGUCUUUGAUAUACAGAAAUUCGGGCGAGCACUCCGCCUUCGAUGGCUCUGGAUGUCCUGGCAACAACCGGAGAGGCCUUGGGUUGGUCUGGACUUGCCUUGCGACAAAUCUGACAGGGCGCUAUUCUCCAUGGCGACAUCGAUCACAGUAAGUGAUGGCAGACUUGCAAGCUUUUGGCAUGACCGAUGGUUGCAAGGCUUAUGUCCAAAAACAAUUGCUCCAAACCUGUUCAGAGUCUCCAUCAGAAAGAAUCGCUCGGUCAGAGAAGCUCUGCAUGAGGAUAGGUGGAUGCUAGACCUAGCGCAUGGCCUCACGGUACAGAUGGAGGGUGAGUUGACACGACUAGCCGGUUUGCUUGACUUGGUGACUCUGGUCGAUGGUACCCCUGACAAGAUUGUAUGGAGGUUCAACUCAAGCCAAGAAUACACUACCAAAUCUGCCUACCAACUCCAGUUCCUGGGAUCAGUGCAACCGGAGGCCACUGCGCUGAUGUGGAAGGGUUGGGCGCCUGCUAAGUGUCGUUUCUUCCUCUGGACGGCAUCUCUGGGCCGCAUCCUAACAGCCAACCUGCUUAUUCGCCGCGGCUGGGAGAACAACUACUUUUGUGCGCUAUGUGAGCGCAACCUGGAAACGGCUUUUCACCUGCUGGUCGAAUGCCCAUGGGCGAAGCAGAGCUGGGAGGGCUUGGCUGGUCUUGCUAGCAUGCCUGCACUGCUGCCUACGGGCUGGGCGCAUGUAACUAGCAUCAACGAGUGGAUGCUCACCUGCUGCACGAAGGUCGGACCAGCAAAACGCAAAGGGGCACUGUCUCUAGUGAACCUAGUCUCCUGGGAGCUUUGGGGUGAAUGCAACAGGCGCGUUUUUGAGGACAAAAGGUUGGAGGUGCGCUCUUUUCUGCUGCGUGUGAAGGAAGAGAUCAUUCUUUGGAAUCUGGCAGGAGCUGGGAUCCCAUUCGACCCAGGCUGA
rnacentral:rRNA from 1 species